GACGAACGCUGGCGGCGUGCUUAACACAUGCAAGUCGAACGGAAAGGCCCUGCUUUUGUGGGGUGCUCGAGUGGCGAACGGGUGAGUAACACGUGAGUAACCUGCCCUUGACUUUGGGAUAACUUCAGGAAACUGGGGCUAAUACCGGAUAGGAGCUCCUGCUGCAUGGUGGGGGUUGGAAAGUUUCGGCGGUUGGGGAUGGACUCGCGGCUUAUCAGCUUGUUGGUGGGGUAGUGGCUUACCAAGGCUUUGACGGGUAGCCGGCCUGAGAGGGUGACCGGCCACAUUGGGACUGGAAUACGGCCCAGCCUCCUACGGGAGGCAGCAGUGGGGAAUAUUGCACAAUGGGCGGAAGCCUGAUGCAGCAACGCCGCGUGCGGGAUGACGGCCUUCGGGUUGUAAACCGCUUUCGCCUGUGACGAAGCGUGAGUGACGGUAAUGGGUAAAGAAGCACCGGCUAACUACGUG
rnacentral:rRNA from 1 species